UACGUAGGUGGCAAGCGUUGUCCGGAAUUACUGGGUGUAAAGGGCGUGUAGGCGGGAAGGUAAGUCAGAUGUGAAAUACCGGGGCUCAACCCCGGGGCUGCAUUUGAAACUAUCUUUCUUGAGUGCAGGAGAGGAAAGUGGAAUUCUUAGUGUAGCGGUGAAAUGCGUAGAUAUUAGGAGGAACACCAGUGGCGAAGGCGACUUUCUGGACUGUAACUGACGCUGAGGCGCGAAAGCGUGGGGAG
rnacentral:rRNA from 1 species